rnacentral:miRNA from 1 species
CAAUGGAAGUGAGAAUGAGAGGGGAGCAUGUAAGGGAGGAGUAACAAAAGUAAAAACUAAAACUAAAAACUGAAAUCUAUUUGAAAUUGUUUUCACUUUGUUACUCCUCCUUACCAUCCUCCUCCUCCUCUCUCUCUCUCCACU